AUUGAACGCUGGCGGCAUGCCUUACACAUGCAAGUCGAACGGCAGCACGGGUGCUUGCCCCUGGUGGCGAGUGGCGAACGGGUGAGUAAUACAUCGGAACAUGUCCUGUAGUGGGGGAUAGCCCGGCGAAAGCCGGAUUAAUACCGCAUACGAUCUACGGAUGAAAGCGGGGGACCUUCGGGCCUCGCGCUAUAGGGUUGGCCGAUGGCUGAUUAGCUAGUUGGUGGGGUAAAGGCCUACCAAGGCGACGAUCAGUAGCUGGUCUGAGAGGACGACCAGCCACACUGGGACUGAGACACGGCCCAGACUCCUACGGGAGGCAGCAGUGGGGAAUUUUGGACAAUGGGCGAGAGCCUGAUCCAGCAAUGCCGCGUGUGUGAAGAAGGCCUUCGGGUUGUAAAGCACUUUUGUCCGGAAAGAAAUCCUUGGCCCUAAUACGGUCGGGGGAUGACGGUACCGGAAGAAUAAGCACCGGCUAACUACGUG
rnacentral:rRNA from 1 species